AUUGAAUGAUAAGUGUAGAAUACACGAGCGGCGGACGGCUGAGUAACACGUAGGAACGUACCCCAAACUGAGGGAUAAGCACUGGAAACAGUGUCUAAUACCGCAUGUGAUCUUCGGAUUAAAGCUCCGGCGGUUUGGGAACGGCCUGCGCAUGAUUAGCUUGUUGGUGAGGUAAUAGCUCACCAAGGCGACGAUCAUUAGCUGGUCUGAGAGGAUGAUCAGCCAGACUGGGACUGAGAACGGCCCAGACUCCUACGGGAGGCAGCAGUAGGGAAUUUUCCACAAUGGGCGAAAGCCUGAUGGAGCAACGCCGCGUGCAGGAUGAAGGUCUUCGGAUUGUAAACUGCUUUUACGAGUGACGAAUAUGACGGUAGCUCGUGAAUAAGGAUCGGCUAACUCCGUGCCAGCAGCCGCGGUCAUACGGAGGAUCCAAGCGUUAUCCGGAAUUACUGGGCGUAAAGAGUUGCGUAGGUGGCAUAGUAAGCGAAUAGUGAAAGCGUGUGGCUCAGCCACAUAUACAUUAUUUGAACUGCUAAGCUAGAGGAUGAGAGAGGUUAUUGGAAUUCCCAGUGUAGGAGUGAAAUCCGUAGAUAUUGGGAGGAACACCGAUGGCGUAGGCAGAUAACUGGCUCAUUCCUGACACUAAGGCACGAAAGCGUGGGUAGCAAACGGGAUUAGAUACCCCGGUAGUCCACGCCGUAAACUAUGGAUGCUAGCUGUUAGAGGUAUCGACCCCUCUAGUAGCGAAGCUAACGCGUUAAGCAUCCCGCCUGUGGAGUACGGUCGCAAGACUAAAACAUAAGGAAUUGACGGGGACCCGCACAAGCGGUGGAGCGUGUUGUUUAAUUCGAUGGUAAACGAAGAACCUUACCCAGGUUUGACU
rnacentral:rRNA from 1 species